AUACGUAGGGGCCAAACGUUGUCCGGAUUUAUUGGGCGUAAAGGGCUCGUAGGCGGUUCAACAAGUCGGUCGUGAAAGCCCGGGGCUCAACCCCGGGACGCCGGUCGAAACUGUUGUGACUCGGGUCCGGUAGAGGUGAGUGGAAUUCUCGGUGUAGCGGUGAAAUGCGCAGAUAUCGAGAGGAACACCAUUAGCGAAGGCGGCUCACUGGGCCGGUACCGACGCUGAGGAGCGAAAGCGUGGGGAGCAAACAGGAUUAGAAACCCCAGUAGUCC
rnacentral:rRNA from 1 species